rnacentral:rRNA from 1 species
GAUGAACGCUGGCGGCGUGCCUAAUACAUGCAAGUCGAGCGAACAGACGAGGAGCUUUCGCCUUUGACGUUAGCGGCGGACGGGUGAGUAACACGUAGGUAACCUACCUAUAAGACUGGGAGAACUUCGGGAAACCGGAGCUAAUACCGGAUAAUAUUUCGAACCGCAUGGUUCGAUAGUGAAAGAUGGCUUUGCUAUCACUUAUAGAUGGACCUGCGCCGUAUUAGCUAGUUGGUAAGGUAACGGCUUACCAAGGCAACGAUACGUAGCCGACCUGAGAGGAUGAUCGGCCACACUGGAACUGAGACACGGUCCAGACUCCUACGGGAGGCAGCAGUAGGGAAUAUUCCGCAAUGGGCGCAAGCCUGACGGAGCCACGCCGCGUGAGUGAUGAAGGUCUUCGGAUCGUAAAACUCUGUUAUUAGGGAAGAAAAAAAGUGUAAGUAACUGUCCACGUCCUGACGGUACCCAAUCAGAAAGCAACGGCUAACUACGUG